AGAUUCCCCCUUCUAUGUCUCCAAGACAGAAGAACAGCAAAAUAUGCCUGGGCGACCCUCGGAGAGCUAAGAGGAGCAGGCCCUGACCCGAAUCCGACCCCACGGGUCCCUUCCGAGAACCCUCACCAGGUGUACCAUAACCCUGAGAAUCCAACCUUGCGCACCCUGGACUUCAGAGAGCCACGGGUGAAUUCUGACCUGGCAGGCAGUGGCCAGAAGGCAAAGGUUAGAAGGCAAAGAGCUGUUUGUUUCCGCCGCCCUGUGGGGGCCACUUGUGCAAGGCUGAGGGACAGAUACAGCCCCUCCUUCAUUCAGUUCCUGUUCCACCUCCCUGGUGGGGCACAGGCUGGGAGGAUUGCGCUCCAUAGCAAAGGUUCCUGGACCUGUUGGUGAUCUCUUGGUGACUCUACCAUCUCAGAUCCGGUUUGGGGGCUGGGGAAAAGGCUCCGUGACUAAGGGUGCUUUCUAUGUACGUGUGGGGACCUAAGUUUGGAUCCCUGCCUGCACACCAAAAAGCAGGCAAACGUGUUGGAGGAACUGAGUUUGAUCCUUGGAACCCUCACGGUGGAAGAAGAGAGUUGACGACGGCUGCGAGUUGUCCACUAUAGAAGGCAUAGACCACACCCCAACACAUGCAUAGCACACAUACAACAAAGAAAUAGGAGUCAAGUUCUUAAAUUAAAUAGGAAUUUAAUUUUAGCAUAACCAUGGAUGGAGUCUAUGGGAACACGGGCUCCUCAGCC
rnacentral:lncRNA from 1 species